GACGAACGCUGGCGGCGUGCCUAACACAUGCAAGUCGAGCGAGAAUCUUUAAAUUGAUUCCUUCGGGAUGAUUUUUAAAGAGGAAAGCGGCGGACGGGUGAGUAACGCGUGAGUAACCUGCCUUCAGGAAGGGGACAACACUUCGAAAGGGGUGCUAAUACCGCAUAACAUUGUAUAUCGCAUGGUAUUACAAUCAAAGAUUUAUCGCCUGAAGAUGGACUCGCGUCUGAUUAGAUAGUUGGUGGGGUAACGGCCUACCAAGUCGACGAUCAGUAGCCGAACUGAGAGGUUGAUCGGCCACAUUGGGACUGAGACACGGCCCAGACUCCUACGGGAGGCAGCAGUGGGGGAUAUUGCGCAAUGGGGGCAACCCUGACGCAGCAACGCCGCGUGAAGGAAGAAGGUUUUCGGAUCGUGAACUUCUUUAAGUGGGGAAGAUAGUGACGGUACCCACAGAAUAAGCCACGGCUAACUACGUGCCAGCAGCCGCCGUAAGAC
rnacentral:rRNA from 1 species